UACGUAGGGGGGCAAGCGUUGUCCGGAAUCAUUGGGCGUAAAGAGCGUGUAGGUGGCUCGGUAAGUCCGCUGUGAAAGUCCAGGGCUCAACCCUGGAAAGCCGGUGGAAACUGUCGAGCUCGAGUCCGGAAGAGGUGAGUGGAAUUCCUGGUGUAGCGGUGAAAUGCGCAGAUAUCAGGAGGAACACCAAUGGCGAAGGCAGCUCGCUGGGACGGUACUGACACUGAGACGCGAAAGCGUGGGGAGCAAACAGG
rnacentral:rRNA from 1 species